GUUUGAUGUUCUAACGUGGACCCGUUACCCGGGUUGCGGACAGUGUCUGGUGGGUAGUUUGACUGGGGCGGUCUCCUCCUAAAGAGUAACGGAGGAGCACGAAGGUUGGCUAAUCCUGGUCGGACAUCAGGAGGUUAGUGCAAUGGCAUAAGCCAGCUUGACUGCGAGCGUGACGGCGCGAGCAGGUGCGAAAGCAGGUCAUAGUGAUCCGGUGGUUCUGAAUGGAAGGGCCAUCGCUCAACGGAUAAAAGGUACUCCGGGGAUAACAGGCUGAUACCGCCCAAGAGUUCAUAUCGACGGCGGUGUUUGGCACCUCGAUGUCGGCUCAUCACAUCCUGGGGCUGAAGUAGGUCCCAAGGGUAUGGCUGUUCGCCAUUUAAAGUGGUACGCGAGCUGGGUUUAGAACGUCGUGAGACAGUUCGGUCCCUAUCUGCCGUGGGCGCUGGAGAACUGAGGGGGGCUGCUCCUAGUACGAGAGGACCGGAGUGGACGCAUCACUGGUGUUCGGGUUGUCAUGCCAAUGGCACUGCCCGGUAGCUAAAUGCGGAAGAGAUAAGUGCUGAAAGCAUCUAAGCACGAAACUUGCCCCGAGAUGAGUUCUCCCUGAGACUUAAAGUCUCCUGAAGGAACGUUGAAGACGACGACGUUGAUAGGCCGGGUGUGUAAGCGCAGCGAUGCGUUGAGCUAACCGGUACUAAUGAACCGUGAGGC
rnacentral:rRNA from 1 species